rnacentral:rRNA from 1 species
GUACCCGCUGAACUUAAGCAUAUCAAUAAGCGGAGGAAAAGAAACCAACAGGGAUUGCCUCAGUAACGGCGAGUGAAGCGGCAACAGCUCAAAUUUGAAAUCUGGCGUCUUCGGCGUCCGAGUUGUAAUUUGUAGAGGAUGCUAUUGAGUUGUCACCGGUCUAAGUUCCUUGGAACAGGACGUCGCAGAGGGUGAGAAUCCCGUAUGUGACCGGCCAGACGCUCUCUGUAUAGCUCCUUCGACGAGUCGGGUUGUUUGGGAAUGCAGCCCUAAAUGGGAGGUAAAUUUCUUCUAAAGCUAAAUACCGGCCAGAGACCGAUAGCGCACAAGUAGAGUGAUCGAAAGAUGAAAAGCACUUUGGAAAGAGAGUUAAAAAGCACGUGAAAUUGUUGAAAGGGAAGCGCUUGCAAUCAGUCUCGACGGCGGCUGUUCGGCCUCUCUUCUGAGUGGUUUAUUCAGUCGCCGCCGGGCCAGCAUCAGUUCUGGCGGCCGGAUAAAGGCGUAGGGAAUGUAGCUCCUCUCGGGGAGUGUUAUAGCCCUGCGUGCAAUACGGCCUGCCGGGACUGAGGUCCGCGCUUCGGCUAGGAUGCUGGCGAAAUGGUUGUAAGCGGCCCGUCUUGAAACACGGACCAAGGAGUCUAACAUCUAUGCGAGUGUUUGGGUGUCAAACCCGUACGCGUAAUGAAAGUGAACGGAGGUGGGAACCGCAAGGUGCACCAUCGACCGAUCCUGAUGUCUUCGGAUGGAUUUGAGUAAGAGCAUAGCUGUUGGGACCCGAAAGAUGGUGAACUAUGCCUGAAUAGGGUGAAGCCAGAGGAAACUCUGGUGGAGGCUCGCAGCGGUUCUGACGUGCAAAUCGAUCGUCAAAUUUGGGUAUAGGGGCGAAAGACUAAUCGAACCAUCUAGUAGCUGGUUCCUGCCGAAGUUUCCCUCAGGAU